rnacentral:snRNA from 1 species
GUGCUCGCUUCAGCAACACGUAUACUAAAACUGGAAUGAUACAGAGAAGAUUAGCAUGGCCCCUGGGCAAGGAUGGCACGCAAAUUCGUGAAGUGUUCCAUAUAUUU